GUAGGAUGGGUCUGCGGCGUAUCAGGUUGUAGGGGGUGUAAAGGACCCCCUAGCCUUCGACGCGUACGGGUGUUGGGAGACAUAGCCCGGAGAUGGAUUCUGAGACACGAAUCCAGACCCUACGGGGUGCAGCAGGCGCGAAAACUUCACACUGCAGGAAACUGUGAUGAGGGAACUCCUAGUGCAUGCACUAUGUGUAUGUAGAUCCUACUCUUAACAAGUAGAGGGAAAGGGCUGGGAAAGACCGGUGCCAGCCGCCGCGGUAAUACCGGCAGCUCAAGUGGUCGUCGCUUUUAUUGGGCCUAAAACGUCCGUAGCCUGUUUGGUAAAUCUGUGGGUAAAUCAAUCCGCUCAACGGAUUGAAUUCUGCAGAGACUGCCAGACUAGGGACCGGGAGAGGUGUGGGGUACUCGAGGGGUAGGGGUAAAAUCCUGUCAUCCUUCGAGGACCACCAGUUGCGAAGGCGCCACACUGGAACGGAUCCGACGGUCGGGGACGAAGCCUAGGGGCACGAACCGGAUUAGAUACCCGGGUAGUCCUAGGUGUAAACGCUGUGAACUUGGUGUCGGGGGUCCGCAAGAGGUCCCCGGUGCCGGAGUGAAGAUGUUAAGUUCACUGCCUGGGGAGUACGGUCGCAAGGCUGAAACUUAAAGGAAUUGGCGGGGCAGCAC
rnacentral:rRNA from 1 species